UACGUAGGCAGCAAGCGUUGUUCGGAAUCACUGGGCGUAAAGCGCACGUAGGCGGAUCUUUAAGUCAGGGGUGAAAUCCUGGAGCUCAACUCCAGAACUGCCUUUGAUACUGGGGAUCUCGAGUCCGGAAGAGGUGAGUGGAACUCCGAGUGUAGAGGUGAAAUUCGUAGAUAUUCGGAAGAACACCAGUGGCGAAGGCGGCUCACUGGUCCGGUACUGACGCUGAGGUGCGAAAGCGUGGGGAGCAAACAGG
rnacentral:rRNA from 1 species